rnacentral:rRNA from 1 species
GGGUGGUAAAUUCCAUCUAAAGCUAAAUAUUGGCGAGAGACCGAUAGCGAACAAGUACAGUGAUGGAAAGAUGAAAAGAACUUUGAAAAGAGAGUGAAAAAGUACGUGAAAUUGUUGAAAGGGAAGGGCUUGAGAUCAGACUUGGUAUUUUGCGUUCCCUUCCUUUUUGGUUGGGUUCCUCGCAGUUUACUGGGCCAGCAUCGGUUUGGAUGGUAGGAUAAUGACAUUGGAAUGUAGCUUUACUUCGGUGAAGUGUUAUAGACUUUGUUGAUACUGCCUAUCUAGACCGAGGACUGCGUCUUUGACUAGGAUGCUGGCGUAAUGAUCUUAAGCCGCCCGUCUUGAAACACGGACCAAGGAGUCUAACGUCUAUGCAAGUGUUUGGGUGUAAAACCCGUACGCGUAAUGAAAGUGAACGUAGGUGAGAGCCUUUUAGGUGCAUCAUCGACCGAUCCUGAUGUCUUCGGAUGGAUUUGAGUAAGAGCAUA